UACGUAGGAUCCAAGCGUUAUCCGGAUUUAUUGGGUUUAAAGGGUGCGUAGGCGGAUUGAUAAGUUAGAGGUGAAAUGUCCGAGCUCAACUCGGGAACUGCCUCUAAUACUGUUGAUCUAGAGAGUAGAUGCGGUAGGCGGAAUGUAUGGUGUAGCGGUGAAAUGCUUAGAGAUCAUACAGAACACCGAUUGCGAAGGCAGCUUACCAAUCUAUAUCUGACGUUGAGGCACAAAAGCGUGGGGAGCAAACAGG
rnacentral:rRNA from 1 species